rnacentral:rRNA from 1 species
CUGCUCUACCACGCAACAGAAGCAAACUCACAGCACUCCUCCUCGUCAGUCACCGCCUGGUCUUCUCGAUGGAGGUGGAGGAGUAGGGGAUCCCGCCGGAUCAGAGGCAUGCGGGCACAGUGGUGGGCGUCUCCGGCAGCGGCGGCGACCUGCAGGCCAAGUGCUACGGCGGGGGCGCUCGAUUUAAUGCAGCGCCAUGGACCGGUCCCUGCAGAAGUGAGAGAAGAUGAGGGAGAGAGAGAAGGAAGGAGAGGAGGGAGAAAGGUAGAGGAAAGAGGAGAGGGAGCUGCAGUGGCGGAUGGGCCGCAGCAGCAAAGUGGCAGAAGGGUCCGGGCUGCAUCGAUGGUGGUCCGAGCGCUGCCGCCUCCAUCCUCGCACCAUCUUCGUCACACUCAGCCGCCUCCUUCCGCACCCCUCUUCUUCGCGCACGGCAACAGAGUCAGGUCCUGUCAGGGAAUAAUAUUAUUCAGUUAG